rnacentral:lncRNA from 1 species
GCUGAUGUGUGGACCAGCUGGUGUAUGGACCGGCUAAUGUAUGGACCUGUUGGUGUAUGGACCCCUGAUGUAUGGACCAGCUGAUGUGUGAACCUCCUGAUGUAUGCCCUCCCCGAUAUAUGGACUAGCUGAUGUAUGGACUCCCUGAUGUAUAGGACAGCUGAUGUAUGGACCCGCUGAUGUAUAGGCCAGUUGACAUAUGGACGCACUGAUGUAUGGACCAGCUGAUGUGUGAACCUCCUGAUGUAUGCCUCCUCUGAUAUAGGAACCAGCUGAUGUAUGGGCCAGGUGAUGUAUGGACCCCUGAUAUAUGGAGCAGCUGAUGUAUGGACCCCUGGUAUAUAGACCACUGAUGUGUGAACCUCCUGAUGAGUGACCCACCAAUAUAUGGACCAGUUGAUGUAUGGACCCACUGAUGUAUGGACCAGCUGAUGUAUGCACCCACUCAGAUGGAAUCUCUCUGUCAGCCAGCCUGGAGUGCAAUGCCAUGAUCUCGCCUCAUUGCAACCUCCGUCUCCCGGGUUCAAGUGAUUCUCCAGCCUCAGCCUCCCCAGUAGCUGGGACUAGAGGUGCGUGCUGCCAUGCCUGGCUAAUUUUUGUAUAGGAUGUUUGUACAACAAUAAGUACUCUUCCAUUCCCUUCUGAUAUGGUUUGGCUGUGUCCUCACCCAAAUCUCAUCUUGAAUUGUAGCUCCCGUAAUUCCUACGUGUUGUGGGAGGGACCCGGUGGGAGAUAAUUGAAUCAUGAGGGCAGUUUCCCCCAUACUGUUCUCAUGGUAGUGAAUAAGUCUUACAAGAUCUGAUGGUUUUAUAAGGGCUUUCCCCUUUUGGUUGGCUCUCACUCUCUCUUGCCUGCCACCAUGUCAGAUGUGCCUUUUGACUUCCUCCAUGAUUGUGAGGCAUCCCCAGCAACGUGGAAAUGUGAGUCCAUUAAAUCUUUCUUUCUUUAUAAAUGACUCAGUCUUGGGCAUAUCUUUAUCAGCAGCAUGAAAGCAGACUAAUAUGCCUUCCCAUCCUUUUCCUUUCCUUUCUUAUCUAGGGUCUUGUAAUACUAAGUGAUAACAAGAAGGAAAGAGUCGGGGCUGAGAGGCAGCCAAUCACCAGGAUUUAGGGCACAGGGAAGAGGGCAUGGAGGCAGCAAAGAGUAUUAAGAAGAAGAAAAUUAAAAUAGCAGAAACUAGAUAAUAUGAAAUUUUAGUGAUUCUUAGGGCCUAUGGAGGAAGAAGAACAUGUAGGAUUUUAAAAUUUGGGCUAAAUAACUGUAUUAGUUCGUUCUUGCAUUGCUAUAAAGAAAUACCAGAGACUGGGUGAUUUAUUAAAAAAAAAAAAAGAAAAGAAAAGAAAAGAGGUUUCAUUUGUUCACAGUUCCCCAGACAGUACAGGAAGCAUGGCUGGGGAAGCCUCAGGAAAUUUACAAUCAUGGUGGAAGGUGAAAGGGAAGGAUACGCUUCUUACAUGUGCAGAGCACGAAGAAAAGAGAGCAAUGGGGGAGGUGCUACACACUUUUAAACAACCAGAUCUUGUGAGAACUUACUCACUAUCAAGAGAACAGCAGGGGGCAAGUCCGCCCCUAUGAUCCAAUCACCUCCCACCAGGCUCCUCCACCAACAUUAGGGAUUACAGUUCAACAUGAGAUUUGGGUGGGGACACAAAUCCAAACCAUGUCAAUAACAUAUUGUAGCUUUCAUUUUCAAUAUUUUACAGUUUCCAUGUUAUCGGCAUAGCAGAUGGUGAAGCUGUUUCUUGCCACAAUGACCAGGUGAAAAAACUGAUGCUAAGAGAAGUUAAGUGACCUGCUCAAAUUUAUACCACUAGCAAUGGCAGAGCUAGGCCUGGAAAUAACUUCUUGGGUUUCAAGUCUAACGUAUUGGCUUCCACACCAUGUUUGCUUCUAAACAACUAAGGUAGUGGUUGAUCAAAAUCAAUGUCCCCAAUGGUCAGAAGUGGCACUGCCCCUUGAUCAGUCUUGAGACAUCCUUCUAAGUGUCCUUGAGUUGCUUUGGCAGAACACAGCAGUGUGUUCCUGCCUCUCUCUCUAGAUAAAAGUUGUCUCUGGAGCAGGAUUUUCUUAUGUGCUGCUGGGGAGGCUUCCGGUUGUUUGCAGUAGCUCUCUCUCCACAUGUUAAUUCCCAGGCUGCAGAAAACCUGCUCAUGGAGAACAUCAGCUGCUUUAGGAAGGCUACAGGUAAAAAGGGCUGCCUGCAUUUUGGGAGGCCGAGGCGGGCGGAUCACGAGUUCAGGAGAUCGAGACCAUCCUGGCCAACAUGGUGAAACCCCGUCUCUACUAAGAAUCCAAAAAAUUAGCCGGGCGUGGUGGCGGACGCCUGUAG